AAAGAAACCAACAGGGAUUGCCCCAGUAACGGCGAGUGAAGCGGCAACAGCUCAAAUUUGAAAUCUGGCCCCCUCGGGGCCCGAGUUGUAAUUUGCAGAGGGAGCUUUUGGCGUCGGUCGUGGUCUAAGUUCCUUGGAACAGGACGUCACAGAGGGUGAGAAUCCCGUACGUGGCCGCCGGCCUUCGCCUUGUAAAGCCCCUUCGACGAGUCGAGUUGUUUGGGAAUGCAGCUCUAAAUGGGAGGUAAAUUCCUUCUAAAGCUAAAUACCCGCCAGAGACCGAUAGCGCACAAGUAGAGUGAUCGAAAGAUGAAAAGCACUUUGGAAAGAGAGUGAAAAAGCACGUGAAAUUGUUGAAAGGGAAGCGCUUGCGGCUAGACGUGCCCGCGGUUGAUCAUCCAGGCUCCGGCCUGGUGCACUCCUCCGCGGGCAGGCCAGCAUCAGUUCGGGCGGUCGGAUAAAGGCCUCUGUCACGUACCACCCCUCGGGGUGGCCUUAUAGGGGAGGCGCAACACGGCCAGCCCGGACUGAGGUUCCGCGCAUCUGCUAGGAUGCUGGCGUAAUAGCAGCAAGCGGCCCGUCUUGAAACACGGACCAAGGAGUCUAACAUCUAUGCGAGUGUUUGGGUGUCAAGCCCGAGCGCGCAAUGAAAGUGAACGGAGGUGGGAACCCUCACGGGUGCACCAUCGACCGAUCCUGAUGUCUUCGGAUGGAUUUGAGUAAGAGCAUAGCUGUUGGGACCCGAAAGAUGGUGAACUAUGCCUGAAUAGGGUGAAGCCAGAGGAAACUCUGGUGGAGGCUCGCAGCGGUUCUGACGUGCAAAUCGAUCGUCAAAUUUGGGCAUAGGGGCGAAAGACUAAUCGC
rnacentral:rRNA from 1 species